rnacentral:rRNA from 1 species
AUUGAACGCUGGCGGUAUGCUUAAGACAUGCAAGUCGAACGGCAGCGCGGGAGCAAUCCUGGCGGCGAGUGGCGAACGGGUGAGUAAUAUAUCGGAACGUGCCCAGUAGUGGGGGAUAGCCCGGCGAAAGCCGGAUUAAUACCGCAUACGACCUGAGGGUGAAAGCGGGGGAUCGCAAGACCUCGCGCUAUUGGAGCGGCCGAUAUCAGAUUAGCUAGUUGGUGGGGUAAAGGCCUACCAAGGCAACGAUCUGUAGUUGGUCUGAGAGGACGACCAGCCACACUGGGACUGAGACACGGCCCAGACUCCUACGGGAGGCAGCAGUGGGGAAUUUUGGACAAUGGGCGCAAGCCUGAUCCAGCAAUGCCGCGUGCAGGAAGAAGGC